UACGGGAGGCAGCAGUGGGGAAUAUUGCACAAUGGGCGCAAGCCUGAUGCAGCCAUGCCGCGUGUAUGAAGAAGGCCUUCGGGUUGUAAAGUACUUUCAGUCGUGAGGAAGGUGUUAAGGUUAAUAACCUUAGCAAUUGACGUUAGCGACAGAAGAAGCACCGGCUAACUCCGUGCCAGCAGCCGCGGUAAUACGGAGGGUGCGAGCGUUAAUCGGAAUUACUGGGCGUAAAGGGCACGCAGGCGGUUAAUUAAGUCAGGGGUGAAAUCCCGAGGCUCAACCUCGGAACUGCCUUUUGAUACUGGGUGUCUUGAGUCCGGAAGAGGUGAGUGGAACUGCGAGUGUAGAGGUGAAAUUCGUAGAUAUUCGCAAGAACACCAGUGGCGAAGGCGGCUCACUGGGUCCGGAACUGACGCUGAGGUGCGAAAGCGUGGGGAGCGAAACAGGGAUUAGAUACCCG
rnacentral:rRNA from 1 species